AUGACAACCCCUUGAGGCUGGACUCCUGUUUAUUAGAGAACAGAUUCUGUGUGAGCAGAGGCACUGCAGGCUUCCUCUUCAGUGACCCCUGCCAAUGUCCCUCACCCCUGACCCAGAGCAACUUUCCCUGGGGACAGCAAGUUCAGACCCCAUGUCUAUCCAACUGUGGCUUCU
rnacentral:sRNA from 1 species